UACGAAGGGAGCGAGCGUUGUUCGGAAUCACUGGGCUUAAAGCGUGCGUAGGCGGAUUGGUAAGUAAGAAGUGAAAUCCCAGGGCUUAACCCUGGAACUGCUUUUUAGACUGCCUGUCUGGAAUUCGGUAGAGGUUGGUGGAACUCCUAGUGUAGAGGUGAAAUUCGCAGAUAUUAGGAAGAACACCGGUGGCGAAGGCGGCGACCUGGUCCGAUACUGACGCUGAGGCGCGAAAGCGUGGGGAGCAAACAGG
rnacentral:rRNA from 1 species